GAUGAACGCUGGCGGCGUGCCUAAUACAUGCAAGUCGAGCGAACAGAUAAGGAGCUUGCUCCUUUGACGUUAGCGGCGGACGGGUGAGUAACACGUGGGUAACCUACCUAUAAGACUGGGAUAACUUCGGGAAACCGGAGCUAAUACCGGAUAACAUUUGGAACCGCAUGGUUCUAUAGUGAAAGAUGGUUUUGCUAUCACUUAUAGAUGGACCCGCGCCGUAUUAGCUAGUUGGUAAGGUAACGGCUUACCAAGGCGACGAUACGUAGCCGACCUGAGAGGGUGAUCGGCCACACUGGAACUGAGACACGGUCCAGACUCCUACGGGAGGCAGCAGUAGGGAAUCUUCCGCAAUGGGCGAAAGCCUGACGGAGCAACGCCGCGUGAGUGAUGAAGGGUUUCGGCUCGUAAAACUCUGUUAUUAGGGAAGAACAAAUGUGUAAGUAACUGUGCACGUCUUGACGGUACCUAAUCAGAAAGCCACGGCUAACUACGUG
rnacentral:rRNA from 1 species